rnacentral:rRNA from 1 species
GAACGCUGGCGGCGUGCCUAAUACAUGCAAGUCGAGCGAAUGGUUGAGAGCUUGCUCUUAUGAAGUUAGCCGGCGGACGGGUGAAGUAACACGUGGGUAACCCUGCCCAUAAGACUGGGAUAACCUCCGGGAAACCGGGGCUAAUACCGGAUAACAUUUUGAACUGCAUGGUUCGAAAUUGAAAGGCGGCUUCGGCUGUCACUUAUGGAUGGACCCGCGUCGCAUUAGCUAGUUGGUGAGGUAACCGGCUCACCAAGGCAACGAUGCGUAGCCGACCUGAGAGGGUGAUCGGCCACACUUGGGACUGAGACACGGCCCAGACUCCUACGGGAGGCAGCAGUAGGGAAUCUUCCGCAAUGGACGAAAGUCUGACGGAGCAACCGCCGCGUGAGUGAUGAAGGCUUUCGGGUCGUAAAACUCUGUUGUUAGGGAAGAACAAGUGCUAGUUGAAUAAGCUGGCACCUUGACGGUACCUAACCAGAAAGCCACGGCUAACUACGUGCCAGCAGCCGCGGUAAUACGUAGGUGGCAAGCGUUAUCCGGAAUUAUUGGGCCGUAAAGCGCGCGCAGGUGGUUCUUAAGUCUGAUGUGAAAGCCCACGGCUCACCGUGGAGGGUCAUUGGAACUGGGAGACUUUGAGUGCAGAAGAGAAAGUGGAAUUCCAUGUUUAGCGGUGAAAUGCGUAGAGAUAUGGAGGACACCAG